rnacentral:misc_RNA from 1 species
AGAGCAUCUGCCAUAACCAAAAUUUUCCUUCGCACAAGCAUUCCUUCAGUGUUCUUUCGCUUUACUCUCAAGGAUUUCUCCAACUAACAAGAGGAAAAUGGAUCUCAGAAUCAUGGGCCUAGACUCCCCAAUCUUCUCCACUCUCCAGCACGUGAUGGACCUCGCCGACGAGGCCGACAAGUCGUUCAGCGCCCCGACCCGGACAUACGUUCGGGAUGCCAAGGCCAUGGCAGCCACUCCGGCCGACGUCAAGGAGUAUCCGAAUUCCUACGUUUUCGUCGUCGACAUGCCAGGGCUGAAGGUGGGGGACAUCAAGGUUCAGGUCGAGGAUGACAAUGUGCUACUGAUAAGUGGCGAGAGGAAGAGGGAGGAGGAGAAAGAGGGAGCUAAGUAUGUGAGGAUGGAGAGAAGAGUCGGCAAGUUAAUGAGGAAAUUCGUGUUGCCGGAAAAUGCUAACACUGAUGCCAUAUCAGCGGUUUGUCAGGAUGGGGUGCUGACUGUGACUGUCCAAAAGUUGCCGCCACCUGAGCCUAAGAAGCCCAAGAUCGUUGAGGUCAAGGUCAAUUGAUGGGGCGAGGAGUAUCAGUGAUUUCUCCAAUCCUUGGAUCAUGAGUUUUCAGAAUAUGGAACAUGGUUUCUUUUUCUUUCGUUCGUUUUUUUUCUUUUUUUUACUCUCUUUCUUCUUUCCGUUGGUGGUGUUUUCUGUUGUAAUGACUGUAAUGUGGGGGUUACCUCUGUAGUGUGUG